rnacentral:rRNA from 1 species
GAUUAACGCUGGCGGCGUGCCUAACACAUGCAAGUCGAGCGGCAGCGAGUUUUACACUGAAUUCUGGAAGCUUCUAGUUGAAAGAGAAGAUUUAUUCAAGAAUUUUGUGUAAAAUGUCGGCGAGCGGCGGACGGCUGAGUAACGCGUGGGAACGUACCCCAAAGUGAGGGAUAACGCAUCGAAAGGUGUGCUAAUACCGCAUAUGGUCUUCGGAUUAAAGCCUUCGGGCGCUUUGGGGACGGCCUGCGUAAGAUUAGAUAGUUGGUGGGGUAAUGGCCUACCAAGUCGACGAUCUUUAACUGGUUUGAGAGGAUGAUCAGUCAGACUGGAACUGAGACACGGUCCAGACUCCUACGGGAGGCAGCAGUGAGGAAUCUUCCACAAUGGGCGAAAGCCUGAUGGAGCAACGCCGCGUGCAGGAUGAAGGCCUUCGGGUUGUAAACUGCUUUUAUAAGUGAGGAUUAUGACAGUAACUUAUGAAUAAGGAUCGGCUAACUACGU